rnacentral:rRNA from 1 species
GAUGAACGCUGACAGAAUGCUUAACACAUGCAAGUCAACUUGAAUUUGGGUUUUUAACUUAGGUUUGGGUGGCGGACGGGUGAGUAACGCGUAAAGAACUUGCCUCACAGCUAGGGACAACAUUUGGAAACGAAUGCUAAUACCUAAUAUUAUGAUAAUAGGGCAUCCUAUAAUUAUGAAAGCUAUAAGCGCUGUGAGAGAGCUUUGCGUCCCAUUAGCUAGUUGGAGAGGUAACGGCUCACCAAGGCGAUGAUGGGUAGCCGGCCUGAGAGGGUGAUCGGCCACAAGGGGACUGAGACACGGCCCUUACUCCUACGGGAGGCAGCAGUGGGGAAGAUUGGACAAUGGACCGAGAGUCUGAUCCAGCAAUUCUGUGUGCACGAUGAAGUUUUUCGGAAUGUAAAGUGCUUUCAGUUGGGAAGAAACAAAUGACGGUACCAACAGAAGAAGUGACGGCUAAAUACGUG